GAAUAUAAUUAAUUUUAGGAAUUAAAAAUAAAUAAUGUCCUUAGAGUAGUUUUAUAUUAGGUGUCCUAACAUUAUUAUUGGUUCAUUAUAAUUCUGAAACGAUUAUUUUUUGUAUUUUUAUUUAAUUAUGGAAAUUGGCUCAUAACUGGCUUAAAACUUUUUUCACACGUUUAUUAAGGCCAUCUGAUCUGUAUUCCAUGAUAAUUAAUAUAAAUUAACAGAGAUUUCAAAAAGUUCCCCUAAAUGAAGAAUCACCAAAACAUCUCGUGCAGACUUUUUGCAAAACUAAAACAAAACAGUAAAAAACAAUACGUUUUGUUAAUAAUGUAAUCAAAACUUUGUGUGUCUAUUGAAUCUGACUUGCUUGUACCAAAUGAAAUUUGUUAAUACUGAAUGAAAGCAAAUAUAUCUUUAUUUUGUGAUCAAAUUGUGCGAAAAUGUAGUCAUCUCCAGAUUAUGUAAAACUCAAAUCACGUCUAGCCUAAAAAUAGAGCGUUCGCGAUAUCCCUCAAAGUGAGACAUCACAGCGGUUCUGGAUUCUGGGGGGAAAAAAGAUGAAGCAUCUGAAAAGGUGGCUCGGAUCGGUGGGGGAAAAGCAUGUUGGACUCGUCGCCUCCGUGGCAUGGGAGACUACCAAAUCAGAGACUGCAAGACUAAGAGAUCACGCCUUGAGUCCGCCUUGUGAUGCAGUCUCCAUGGCGACUACAGUUUCCUGGGAAUCAGCCUGGACGUCUGUUGUUUGCUGACGAUGGAUAUUAGGCUAAUAUGAAUGAAGACAACAGGAUUUAGAAGGCUUCGGGGGAGAUCCACACAGUGCCUAGGACUGACGACCAAUAGAAACGGAGGCCGUUAACCUUUCUGCUACAAAACAGAACUGAACUCACCUUCAAACGACAAAGAAGAUGCCCGCUUAUCUCUACUGCCAAUUUCCAUUUACAUCUGACUGAAUCACCGUGAACCGCAACACUCCAGAAGUGGCCUUUGUUGGGUGAAUUCUGCAGGUUCACAUUUAAUACGAAGAAAGCAAUACGAAGAAAACUGAACUGUUGGACUUGAACUGUUGGAUCAUCUAAGAGACCACUGCCAGAUAUUAAUCGAGCUGUUUUCUGGUGUCCAUCAUGUAUUUACAGUUUAGCUGUUGUUGUGCGAGAUGUGAGAACUGUGGAAACCAAAUCUUUCUUGCUCUUUGACCAUAUAAAUAGUCUGAAAGAUA